rnacentral:rRNA from 1 species
UUCCUUGGAAAAGGACAGCUGAGAGGGUGAAACUCCCGUCCGCCUGGUAGAAUGAGUCUUUGUCAACGAGUCGAGUUGUUUGGGAUUGCAGCUCUAAUUUGGUGGUAAAUUCCAUCUAAAGCUAAAUAUUGGUGGGAGACCGAUAGCGUACAAGUACCGUGAGGGAAAGAUGCAAAGAACUUUGAAAAGAGAGUUAAAGAGUACCUGAAAUUGCUGAAACGGAAGCGAAGGAAACCAGUGUUUGUUGGCUCAUAUUUCCUUGGCCACUUGUGGUUUGGGCG